AGAGAUGACUCUCGGCAACGGAUAUCUAGGCUCUUGCCACGAUGAAGAACGUAGCGAAAUGCGAUACUUGGUGUGAAUUGCAGAAUCCCGUGAACCAUCAAGUUUUUGAACGCAAGUUGCGCCCGAGGCCACCAGGCCAAGGGCACGCCUGCCUGGGCGUCACGC
rnacentral:rRNA from 1 species